rnacentral:rRNA from 1 species
UACGGAGGGUGCAAGCGUUAUCCGGAAUCACUGGGUUUAAAGGGUGCGUAGGCGGCUUGGUAAGUCAGAGGUGAAAGCCCGCAGCUUAACUGCGGAACUGCCUUUGAUACUGCCGAGCUUGAAAGAGGUUGAGGUCAGCGGAACGUGACAUGUAGCGGUGAAAUGCAUAGAUAUGUCACAGAACACCAAUUGCGAAGGCAGCUGGCUGGGCCUACUUUGACGCUGAGGCAAGAAAGCGUGGGGAGCGAACAGG